rnacentral:rRNA from 1 species
ACUUGGAUAUGGAUUCUUCACGGUAACGUAACUGAAUGUGGAGACGUCGGCGCGAGCCCUGGGAGGAGUUAUCUUUUCUUCUUAACAGUUUAUCACCCUGGAAUUGGUUUAUCCGGAGAUAGGGUCUUAUGGCUGGAAGAGGCCAGCACCUUUGCUGGCUCCGGUGCGCGUGUGACGGCCCGUGAAAAUCCACAGGAAGGAAUAGUUUUCAUGCUAGGUCGUACU